CCGGAGAAUGUUAUCACGGGAGACACACGGCGGGUGCUAACGUCCGUCGUGAAGAGGGAAACAACCCAGACCGCCAGCUAAGGUCCCAAAGUCAUGGUUAAGUGGGAAACGAUGUGGGAAGGCCCAGACAGCCAGGAUGUUGGCUUAGAAGCAGCCAUCAUUUAAAGAAAGCGUAAUAGCUCACUGGUCGAGUCGGCCUGCGCGGAAGAUGUAACGGGGCUAAACCAUGCACCGAAGCUGCGGCAGCGAACGUAUCACCCAAGACAACUUUACGGAGUUGACGAUUGACGGAGCGAAGCGACGUCAAAGCGUUCAUUAAAGUCGAGUUGGCUUAGGGAUACGUUCGUUGGGUAGGGGAGCGUUCUGUAAGCCUGUGAAGGUGUGUCGUGAGGCAUGCUGGAGGUAUCAGAAGUGCGAAUGCUGACAUAAGUAACGAUAAAGCGGGUGAAAAGCCCGCUCGCCGGAAGACCAAGGGUUCCUGUCCAACGUUAAUCGGGGCAGGGUGAGUCGACCCCUAAGGCGAGGCCGAAAGGCGUAGUCGAUGGGAAACGGGUUAAUAUUCCCGUACUUGGUGUUACUGCGAAGGGGGGACGGAGAAGGCUAUGUUGGCCGGGCGACGGUUGUCCCGGUUUAAGCGUGUAGGUGUGUGUUCCAGGUAAAUCCGGUUCACUUUAACACUGAGGCGUGACGACGAGGCACUACGGUGCUGAAGCAACAAAUGCCCUGCUUCCAGGAAAAGCCUCUAAGCAUCAGGUAACACGAAAUCGUACCCCAAACCGACACAGGUGGUCAGGUAGAGAAUACCAAGGCGCUUGAGAGAACUCGGGUGAAGGAACUAGGCAAAAUGGUGCCGUAACUUCGGGAGAAGGCACGCUGACACGUAGGUGAAGUGAUUUACUCAUGGAGCUGAAGUCAGUCGAAGAUACCAGCUGGCUGCAACUGUUUAUUAAAAACACAGCACUGUGCAAACACGAAAGUGGACGUAUACGGUGUGACGCCUGCCCGGUGCCGGAAGGUUAAUUGAUGGGGUCAGCGCAAGCGAAGCUCCUGAUCGAAGCCCCGGUAAACGGCGGCCGUAACUAUAACGGUCCUAAGGUAGCGAAAUUCCUUGUCGGGUAAGUUCCGACCUGCACGAAUGGCGUAAUGAUGGCCAGGCUGUCUCCACCCGAGACUCAGUGAAAUUGAACUCGCUGUGAAGAUGCAGUGUACCCGCGGCAAGACGGAAAGACCCCGUGAACCUUUACUAUAGCUUGACACUGAACAUUGAGCCUUGAUGUGUAGGAUAGGUGGGAGGCUUUGAAGUGUGGACGCCAGUCUGCAUGGAGCCGACCUUGAAAUACCACCCUUUAAUGUUUGAUGUUCUAACGUGGACCCGUAAUCCGGGUUGCGGACAGUGUCUGGUGGGUAGUUUGACUGGGGCGGUCUCCUCCUAAAGAGUAACGGAGGAGCACGAAGGUUGGCUAAUCCUGGUCGGACAUCAGGAGGUUAGUGCAAUGGCAUAAGCCAGCUUGACUGCGAGCGUGACGGCGCGAGCAGGUGCGAAAGCAGGUCAUAGUGAUCCGGUGGUUCUGAAUGGAAGGGCCAUCGCUCAACGGAUAAAAGGUACUCCGGGGAUAACAGGCUGAUACCGCCCAAGAGUUCAUAUCGACGGCGGUGUUUGGCACCUCGAUGUCGGCUCAUCACAUCCUGGGGCUGAAGUAGGUCCCAAGGGUAUGGCUGUUCGCCAUUUAAAGUGGUACGCGAGCUGGGUUUAGAACGUCGUGAGACAGUUCGGUCCCUAUCUGCCGUGGGCGCUGGAGAACUGAGGGGGGCUGCUCCUAGUACGAGAGGACCGGAGUGGACGCAUCACUGGUGUUCGGGUUGUCAUGCCAAUGGCACUGCCCGGUAGCUAAAUGCGGAAGAGAUAAGUGCUGAAAGCAUCUAAGCACGAAACUUGCCCCGAGAUGAGUUCUCCCUGAGACUUUAGGUCUCCUGAAGGAACGUUGAAGACGACGACGUUGAUAGGCCGGGUGUGUAAGCGCAGCGAUGCGUUGAGCUAACCGGUACUAAUGAACCGUGAGGCUUAACCUUACAACGCCGAAG
rnacentral:rRNA from 1 species